GGUUCGGUAUUUUAGUGGUAGAAUGCUCGCCUGCCACGUGGACAGCCUGGGCUCGAUUCCUGGCCGAUACA
rnacentral:tRNA from 1 species